GCCAUAUGGAGGCUCCGAGAUGGUCUCUGCAGCCUCAAGCAGUCUGCCAUCCAGUACUCUUGUUCUCAGUCACCAUCAGACUAGAGGUCCUUCAUGGAUCACUGGAUAUGGAUGGAUAUAUGGCAGGCCCUCUAUAAUCAGUGGAGCAACGAGUAGUACUCUGAUGGCGGCAGAAGGUCUGACAGAAUCGGACCAUCCAGCAGGA
rnacentral:lncRNA from 1 species